UCCCACCGGCUGAGCUAGGUCUGGGAGGUUGAGUAACUGGGGCUGCUGGUUCUGUAGGUGGUGGAGGUGGGGGUGCAGCAUUCCCCGAGGUGGGGUUUGCCGGGUUUGGAUAGAAGGGUGAGGGUGGAUAAGCUGGGUAUUGUGUGUAAGGUGGAUAGAAAGGUGGAUAAGGCAUGUAGGUAGGGUAGGGGUUAAAGCUGGAAUAAUCCGAUGUGCCUCCCAUCGGAUACCCUGAACCCUGUGGGAAGGGUGGAUAAUGGGGUGGAAAACCAUACCCCGAGGCCUGAACGCCUCCCUGAGACUCCCCUGUCCC
rnacentral:lncRNA from 1 species